rnacentral:rRNA from 1 species
GACGAACGCUGGCGGCGUGCUUAACACAUGCAAGUCGAGCGGUAAGGCCCUUUGGGGUACACGAGCGGCGAACGGGUGAGUAACACGUGAGUAACCUGCCUUUGGCUUGGGAAUAACUUCGGGAAAUCGGGGCUAAUGCCUGAUGUUUACUGUCUGCUGCAUGGUGGGUGGUGGAAAGAUUUUUUGGCCAGGGAUGAGCUCGCGGUCUAUCAGCUUGUUGGUGGGG